UAUCACUAAGGAUUGUUUUUCUCACACUAUAUAUUUCCUGUGAGAGACGGAAGGGAUGCGAGUCGGUCAGCAUAGAUCGAUUUAAAUGGAUAACAAUAAGGAUAGA
rfam:Vibrio metschnikovii CIP 69.14 VIB.Contig146, whole genome shotgun sequence.